rnacentral:tRNA from 1 species
GGAGAGAUGACCGAGUGGCUGAAGGUGCUCGCCUGGAAAGCGGGUGCAGGCCGCAAAACGGCUUGCCGGGGGUUCGAAUCCCUCUCUCUCCG